GACUACUAGGGUAUCUAAUCCUGUUUGCUCCCCACGCUUUCGCGCCUCAGCGUCAGUUGUCGUCCAGAAAGUCGCCUUCGCCACCGGUGUUCUUCCUAAUCUCUACGCAUUUCACCGCUACACUAGGAAUUCCACUUUCCUCUCCGAUACUCCAGCCUCCCAGUUUCCAUCCCAUCACGGGGUUAAGCCCCGCACUUUUAAGAUGGACUUAAGAAGCCGCCUGCGCGCGCUUUACGCCCAAUAAUUCCGGACAACGCUUGCCACCUACGUAUUACCGCGGCUGCUGGCACGUAGUUAGCCGUGGCUUGCUAUUCGGGUACCGUCACUCUGAUAUGGUAUUAGCAUACCAGCCAUUCGUCCCCGAUCACAGAGCUUUACAACCCGAAGGCCGUCAUCACUCACGCGGCGUUGCUCCGUCAGACUUUCGUCCAUUGCGGAAGAUUCCCCACUGCAGCCUCCCGUAGG
rnacentral:rRNA from 1 species